GGGCCGUUAGCUCAGCCGGUAGAGCAGCGGACUUUUAAUCCGUUGGUCGCAGGUUCGACUCCUGCACGGCCCACCA
rnacentral:tRNA from 3 species